rnacentral:rRNA from 1 species
CCUACGGGAGGCAGCAGUGAGGAAUAUUGGUCAAUGGACGAGAGUCUGAACCAGCCAAGUAGCGUGAAGGAUGACUGCCCUAUGGGUUGUAAACUUCUUUUAUAUGGGAAUAAAACGUUCCACGUGUGGGAUUUUGUAUGUACCAUAUGAAUAAGGAUCGGCUAACUCCGUGCCAGCAGCCGCGGUAAUACGGAGGAUCCGAGCGUUAUCCGGAUUUAUUGGGUUUAAAGGGAGCGUAGGUGGAUUGUUAAGUCAGUUGUGAAAGUUUGCGGCUCAACCGUAAAAUUGCAGUUGAAACUGGCAGUCUUGGGUACAGUAGAGGUGGGCGGAAUUCGUGGUGUAGCGGUGAAAUGCUUAGAUAUCACGAAGAACUCCGAUUGCGAAGGCAGUUCACUGGACUGCAACUGACACUGAGGCUCGAAAGUGUGGGUAUCAAACAGGAUUAGAUACCCGUGUAGUC